UGGCGGUGUGGAUAAGGCAUGCAAGUCAAACGGCUUUUUAAAGUAAGCUUGCUUAUUUUUUGAAGCAGUGGCAAACGGGUUAGUAACACGUGGGUAAUCAACCCCAUUCACGAGGAUAACCGAUAGAAAGGUCGGCUAAUAUUCGAUAGUCCCAAUAUUUCUUAUGGAAUUUUGGGUAAAGAUAUAUGCAAGUAUGUCGGAAUGGGAUGAGCCCGCGGCUUAUCAGCUAGUUGGUAAGGUAAUGGCUUACCAAGGCUAUGACAAGUAGGCGGGGUUAGCGCCUGAUCGCCAACAAGGGCACUGAGACACGGGCCCUACUCCUACGGGAGGCUGCAGUCGAGAAUAUUGGACAAUGGAGGAAACUCUGAUCCUGCGACGCCGCGUGCUUGAAGAAGCUCUUCGGAGUGUAAAGAGCUUUUCUAAGGGAAGAAGUUGUGUAAACAAUGGACGGUACCUUAGGAAUAAGGGGGUGCUAAUUCUGUGCCAGCAGCAGCGGUAAUACAGAACCCCCAAGCGUUAUCCGGAUUUAUUGGGCGUAAAGAGUUCGUAGGCGGUUUAGACAGUCUUGGGUUAAAUCUCGAGGGCUUAACCUGGAGAAGGCUAGAGAUACUACCUAAACUAGAGACCGUUAGGGGUUGACGGACCAGUCGGUGUAGGGGUGAAAUCCGUUGAUUUCGACUGGA
rnacentral:rRNA from 1 species